rnacentral:tRNA from 1 species
AAAGCUUUAAGUUAAUUAACUAAACUAUUAACCUUCAAAGUUAAAAAUAUAUUUAAUAUAAGCUUUA